rnacentral:rRNA from 1 species
UACGGGGGGGGUAAGCGUUGUUCGGAAUUACUGGGCGUAAAGGGCUCGUAGGCGGCCAACUAAGUCAUACGUGAAAUCCCUCAGCUUAACUGGGGAACUGCGUGUGAUACUGGAUGGCUUGGAUUUGGGAGAGGGAUGCGGAAUUCCAGGUGUAGCGGUGAAAUGCGUAGAUAUUGGGAGGAACACCGGUGGCGAAGGCGGCCCUCUGGACCGGUACUGACGCUGAUGCGCGAAAGCGUGGGGAGCAAACGGG